UGGAAUAUAAAAGAUUGUAAGAAUAUACUAUAAAUCUAUACGGAUGUCCUUCGACUACUCGCCGAAGUCCUUUUAGCCUUAGUCCGUAGGUCUCUAGACGUUACAGAGAACCCUGAACAACCCGAUCUGCUAAUCUCCGAUACCGCUUUAUACUCACGACCUUGUAUCCACUGACUGUCUUGUUAGAUUAACCCAAUAAAUUUCAUUCACUCCGCACACUCAAUCCUAUAGACACCCUUUUAA
rnacentral:lncRNA from 1 species